rnacentral:tRNA from 1 species
GCCGAGGUGGUGAAACUGGUAGACGCAGCGGACUCAAAAUCCGCCGGACUUAGGUCCAUGGGGGUUCGAUUCCCCCCUUCGGCA